rnacentral:rRNA from 1 species
GCUCAGAGCGAACGUUAGCGGCGGGCCUAACACAUGCAAGUCGAACGCGAAAGGUCUUCGGACUGAGUAGAGUGGCGCACGGGUGAGUAACACGUAGGUAAUCUACCCUUUGGCGGGGGAUAACGUUCCGAAAGGAGCGCUAAUACCGCAUAAGACCACGGAGUCUCCGGACGCUGUGGGAAAAGGUGGCCUCUUCUUGAAAGCUACCACCGAAGGAUGAGCCUGCGUCCCAUCAGCUAGUUGGUAAGGUAAUGGCUUACCAAGGCGAAGACGGGUAGCUGGUUUGAGAGAAUGAUCAGCCACACUGGCACUGGAACACGGGCCAGACUCCUACGGGAGGCAGCAGUGAGGAAUAUUGGGCAAUGGGCGAAAGCCUGACCCAGCCACGCCGCGUGAGUGAUGAAGGCCCUCGGGUCGUAAAGCUCUGUGGAGAGGGACGAAAACCCUGGUUUCAAAUAGGCUCCAGGCUUGACGGUACCUCUUUAGCAAGCACCGGCUAACUCUGUG